rnacentral:rRNA from 1 species
AUUGAACGCUGGCGGCAUGCCUUACACAUGCAAGUCGAACGGCAGCACGGGAGCAAUCCUGGUGGCGAGUGGCGAACGGGUGAGUAAUAUAUCGGAACGUGCCCAGUCGUGGGGAUAACGUAGCGAAAGCUACGCUAAUACCGCAUACGAUCUAUGGAUGAAAGCGGGGGAUCGCAAGACCUCGCGCGAUUGGAGCGGCCGAUAUCAGAUUAGGUAGUUGGUGAGGUAAAGGACUCACCAAGCCGACGAUCUGUAGCUGGUCUGAGAGGACGACCAGCCACACUGGGACUGAGACACGGCCCAGACUCCUACGGGAGGCAGCAGUGGGGAAUUUUGGACAAUGGGCGCAAGCCUGAUCCAGCAAUGCCGCGUGCAGGAUGAAGGCC